rnacentral:rRNA from 1 species
CCUACGGGAGGCAGCAGUGAGGAAUAUUGGUCAAUGGGCGCUAGCCUGAACCAGCCAUGCCGCGUGAAGGAUGACUGCCCUAUGGGUUGUAAACUGCUUUUAUACGGGAAUAAAGUUCAGUAUGUAUACUGCUUUGCAUGUACCUUAUGAAUAAGGAUCGGCUAACUCCGUGCCAGCAGCCGCGGUAAUACGGAGGAUCCGAGCGUUAUCCGGAUUUAUUGGGUUUAAAGGGAGCGUAGGCGGGCGGUUAAGUCAGUGGUGAAAGGUUGGGGCUCAACCCGGAGACUGCAUUUGAUACUGGAAGCCUUGAGUGCAGUAGAGGCAGGCGGAAUUCGUGGUGUAGCGGUGAAAUGCUUAGAUAUCACGCAGAACACCGAUUGCGAAGGCAGCCUGCUGGACCGUAACUGACGCUGAUGCGCGAAAGCGUGGGUAGCAAACAGGAUUAGAUACCCUGGUAGUC